rnacentral:rRNA from 1 species
GAGGAAAAGAAACAAACAUGGAUAGCCCCAGUAACGGCGAGUGAAGCGGCUACAGCUCAAAUUUGAAAUCUGGCUCCUUUGGGGGUCCGAGUUGUAAUUUGCAGAGGAUGCUUCGGCAUUGGCGGCGGUCUAAGUUCCCUGGAACAGGACAUCGCAGAGGGUGAGAAUCCCGUACGUGGGCGCCUGCCUUUGCCGUGUGAAGCUCCUUCGACGAGUCGAGUUGUUUGGGAAUGCAGCUCUAAAUGGGAGGUAAAUUUCUUCUAAAGCUAAAUAUUGGCCAGAGACCGAUAGCGCACAAGUAGAGUGAUCGAAAGAUGAAAAGUACUUUGGAAAGAGAGUCAAACAGCACGUGAAAUUGUUGAAAGGGAAGCGCUUGCAGCCAGACGUGCCCGCAGUUGCUCACCCAGGCUCCGGCCCGGGGCACUCUUCUGCGGGCAGGCCAGCAUCGGUUCGGGCGGUCGGACAAAGGCCUCUGUCAAGUACCUUCCUUCGGGUUGGCCUUAUAGGGGAGGCGCAAUGCGACCAGCCCGGACCGAGGUCCGCGCAUCUGCUAGGAUGCUGGCGUAAUGGCUGUAAGCGGCCCG